GCUAAAUGUGUUGUCCGUGACCUAGCUAAAUGUGUUGUCCGUGACCUAGCUAAAUGUGCUGUCCGUGACCUAGCUAAAUGAGUUGUCCCUGACCUUGCUAAAUGUGUUGUCCGUGACCUAGCUAAAUGUGCCGUCUGUGACCUAGCUAAAUGUGUUGUCCGUGACCUAGCUAAAUGUGCCGUUAGUGACCUAGCUAAAUGUGCCAUUUGUGACCUAGCUAAAUGUGCCGUCCGUGACCUAGCUAAAUGUGCCGUCCAUGACCUAAAGCCUUCAGACAUGUCUUGCCAUGCUCCAGAUGAAUGAAAACAUGUUCAUACCCCAGACCCAGACCCAGACCCAGCCUUAACCACAACCAAGUAGGAAUUUGCCUCAACCAAGCAGAAGGAAGCCCUGUCUUAUACCCCAGUACAGAAGGAAGCCCUGCCUUAUACCCCAGUACAGAAGGAAGCCCUGCCUUAUACCCUAGUACGGAAGGAAGCCCUGCCUUAUACCCCAGUACAGAGGGAAGCCCUGCCUUAUACCCCAGUACAGAAGGAAGCCCUGCCUUAUACCCCAGUGCAGAAGGAAGCCCUGCCUUAUACCCCAGUACAGAAGGAAACUCUGCCUUAUACCCCAGUACAGAAGGAAGCCCUGCCUUAUACCCCAGUACAGAAGGAAGCCCUGCCUUAUACCCCAGUACAGAAGGAAGCCCUGCCUUAUACCCCAGUACAGAAGGAAGCCCUGCCUUAUACCCCAGUACAGAAGGAAGCCCUGCCUUAUACCCCAGUACAGAAGGAAGCCCUGCCUUAUACCCCAGUACAGAAGGAAGCCCUGCCUUAUACCCCAGUACAGAAUGAAACCCUGCCUUAUACCCCAGUACAGGAUGACCACAUGGCCUAUAGAUCCUUUAUUACAUCAUUAGAGGGAAUCAGAUGAUGUGACUCAACAAUCUUCAACCUAACACAGAGUCACACCCCAAAGUGUGAGAAAGUCAGUCUGAAAGCCUCAGUGACCAGGCAGGAGGGAGUAUCACCCCCCCCGAACCCGAACCCCCAUUUCUCCCUUAGGCACACGAUGUGUUGAACGGCUGCCAAGGGCCACAAGGAGUGAGCGGAUCAUAAACAGAGCGAUGUGCUCGCUCUCUAAGAGGCCCCGGUGGACGUCAUUAAUCGAGGCACAGUGAAGUGUUUACACAGGACGAUAAAUAAGAAGCUCUCUCUGACAGCAGGGGAUGAUUACUUGGUCAUGUCUGUCGGCCCCCCAAUGGCCCAAUGAUUCAGUGGAAUAGUUACAGGCCUUCUAAUGGCCAUUGAUACAGAGGACUAGGUUCUCUAAUGGCCCAGUGAUCCAGAGGUCUAGGUUUUUCUAAUGGCCCAGUGAUACAGACCGGGCCAGAUGCAACAAUGAGGAUCUUUCAGAGCAGGGCAGCUACAGCAAUGAGGAUCUUUCAGACCGGGGCAGAUGCAACAAUGAGGGUCUUUCAGAGCAGGGCAGCUGCAUCAAUGAGGAUCUUUCAGAGCAGGGCAGCUGCAGCAAUGAGGAUCUUUCAGAGCAGGGCAGAUGCAGAAAUUAGGAUCUUUCAGAGCAGGGCAGCUGCAGCAAUGAGGAUCUUUCAGAGCAGGGCAGCUGCAGCAAUGAGGAUCUUUCAGAGCAGGGCAGCUGCAGCAAUGAGGAUCUUUCAGAGCAGGGCAGCAAUGAGGAUCUUUCAGAGCAGGGCAGCAAUGAGGAUCUUUCAGAGCAGGGCAGCUGCAGCAAUGAGGAUCUUUCAGAGCAGGGCAGCAAUGAGGAUCUUUCAGAGCAGGGCAGCUGCAGCAAUGAGGAUCUUUCAGAGCAGGGCAGCUGCAGCAAUGAGGAUCUUUCAGAGCAGGGCAGCAAUGAGGAUCUUUCAGAGCAGGGCAGAUGAGGAUCUUUCAGAGCAGGGCAGAUGCAGCAAUGAGGAUCUUUCAGAGCAGGGCAGCUGCAGCAAUGAGGAUCUUUCAGAGCAGGGCAGCUGCAGCAAUGAGGAUCUUUCAGAGCAGGGCAGAUGCAGCAAUGAGGAUCUUUCAAAGCAGGGCAGAGAAAAUAAAAGGAAGAAAAGCAGGUUUAAUUAUAACUGAAACAUGAUGUCAAGUCAACUCAUUUCUUUAGUUAAAAGACAGGUGCUGCUGAUAACACUGCCAUCGUCAUCAAGGAUGCUGGAAUUAUUUUGGUGUGAACGUGCAAAAGUAACCUACUUUUUUUAAGUGAUUUGUUUGACAAUAAGAUGAAAACAUCAUGAUUGAUUGUGGUCAUAGUACAUUAAAAGUAAAAUUUUACAGUUAAAUUACAUGUCUUUACUAUAAAACCCAUAGGAGGGGGGGUGGUGGGGGAAGCUCAGACUGACCUCUGUCUGGGUCCUCCAAAUCACUAAGCCCGCCCCUGUACAGAGGAAUAUUUUACAGGCCCUCUGAUGGCCUAUGUGAUACUCCGCACCUAGUGUUUUCCCAACCCAGUCCUAAGUUCCCCCUUAACCGUUUCACAUAUUUGAUCUAUUCCAACACUAGCUCACCAUAACAGGAUCAGGAUGGUUUUAUCCAGUGCUGCAUUAGACUGUGUGUUAUUUACUAGGAAAAUGGAUUCAGUUUACAGAACAGCAAAUGGAUACCAACAUAUUUGGCAGAGAGGUACACCAUUGCAAUCAAAUACAUGGAGUUGUAUUCAAAUUCUAUCACUAAUUCUAUCACUAUUCUAUCACUGUUUGAAAGACGCUGCAUUUAGUUGAGAAGCUGCUAUCUUGCUACUCUUGUGCCUUUUGAGUAUUUCUCCACUUGGUCCUAUCUGACCUCUGUGUUUGAUAUUGCUAAAGGAAUUCCAAAGGUUUAGACAAUCUAUGAAGUCACCAACAAAUGGUCAUUCCACGUGCCAACCAAAGCAACGAUAUGUAUUAAAGGUGCAGUUCCUCUUUGUUUUCUGCAACUCCUCCUCCCUACAGUCUAACCUUUUGCCUUGAAUGUGUGAUUUGGCGACACGUGUAGCUCAAAUAAAGAUAUUUAAUUUUACAGCCAUGUCCUCUACGUAGGAGUUUGUUUUGGAUUAAUUCUCUGCUCGGAGGGUUAGGACUCUACUCUAGCUGCUCAGAGGGUUAGGACUCUAAUCUAUCUGCUCAGUGGAUUAGGACUCUAAUCUAGCACAGAGGGUUAGGACUCUAAUCUAGCUGCUCAGAGGGUUAGGACUCUAAUCUAUCUGCUCAGUGGAUUAGGACUCUAAUCUAGCUGCUCAGAGGGUUAAGACUCUAAUCUAGCUGCACAGAGGGUUAGGAUUCUAAUCCAGAAGGGGAUGGUGAUGAUGUCAUGUUUUGAGAUAUCAUCUGUCAGCGCAGUAUGUAGUUUGAGCAGACUUCCCGGGUUCAGUGCUCUUGUGUGAUUGCUUAAAUGUAUAUAGGCAGUGAUCCAAAUGCUGUGAUUUAUUAAUAAAUACAGCAUAUUGUAUGGAAUCAAGUAUUUCCAUAAGUGGACCACUAUUCCUGUUGAUUUAACUGAAACCAUUUGGAACUUUAGUCAAAGAAUAUAGAAAUGGUUUGAUUCAUUUUUAUUCCUGCACAUUAAUAAAC
ensembl:lncRNA